GACGAACGCUGGCGGCGUGCUUAACACAUGCAAGUCGACGACGCUACUGAGUAGCAAUAUUUAGUAGUGGAGUGGCGCAAGGGUGAGUAAUGUAUACGUAACCAACCCAUCGGAGACGGAUAACAUUUCGAAAGGGAUGCUAAAACGGCAUGAAGCCACGAUUUCGCAUGAGAUUGUGGUUAAAGAACCGGUAACAGGUUGCCGAUGGCUGGGCGUAUAUCCGAUUAGCUAGUUGGUAGUGUAAUGGACUACCAAGGCGACGAUCGGUAGCUGGUCUGAGAGGAUGAUCAGCCACACUGGCACUGAGACACGGGCCAGACUCCUACGGGAGGCAGCAGUGGGGAAUAUUAGGCAAUGCCCGCAAGGGUGACCCAGCAACGCCGCGUGGAGGAUGAAGGCCGUAAGGUUGUAAACUCUGACAAGCAGGGAAGAACGGCUAUGGUAAAAGGCCAUAGAAUGACGGUACCUGCCUGAAGCCCCGGCUAACUACGU
rnacentral:rRNA from 1 species